rnacentral:rRNA from 1 species
CCGCCAGAGAAUUACGAGCAACAAGCUUAAAACUCAAAGGACUUGACGGUGUCCCACAUCGACCUAGAGGAGCCUGUCCUAUAAUCGAUACCCCCCGUUCCACCCAACCCCUACUAGCACUAAUCAGCCUAUAUACCGCCGUCGACAGUCUACCCCAUGAGGGAUCAAUAGUAGACACAACAGUUAACAACUAAUACGUCAGGUCAAGGUGUAGCAAAUGUAGGGGAAGAGAUUGGCUACAUUUUUUAUUAUAAAAACACGAAAUGCAUUAUGAAACCCUGCAUGAAGGCGAAUUUAGCAGUAAAAU